rnacentral:piRNA from 1 species
CUGUGUAAGCGCUAUAGAUUUGG